GAUGAACGCUAGCGGCAGGCUUAACACAUGCAAGUCGAGGGGCAGCACGUCUUCGGAUGGUGGCGACCGGCGCACGGGUGAGUAACGCGUAUGCAAUCUACCUUUUACAGGGGCAUAGCCCGGGGAAACCCGGAUUAAUACCCCAUGGUACCAUUAUAUAGCAUUAUAUUAUGGUUAAAGUUUCGGCGGUAAAAGAUGAGCAUGCGUCCUAUUAGCUUGAUGGUAAGGUAACGGCUUACCAUGGCUAUGAUAGGUAGGGGUCCUGAGAGGGAGACCCCCCACACUGGUACUGAGACACGGACCAGACUCCUACGGGAGGCAGCAGUGAGGAAUAUUGGACAAUGGGCGAGAGCCUGAUCCAGCCAUGCCGCGUGCAGGAAGACGGCCCUAUGGGUUGUAAACUGCUUUUAUACGGGAAGAAACACCCCUUCGUGAAGGGACUUGACGGUACCGUAUGAAUAAGGAUCGGCUAACUCCGUGCCAGCAGCCGCGGUAAUACGGAGGAUCC
rnacentral:rRNA from 1 species